CAGGUGUCAUGCCGGGGACGGACGCUACUCCGCCGAGUUUUGGACCAGGAUUGACUGGAGUUCCUGUUGAUGAGAUGUGUGGUGAGAAGCAACUAGGGGUUGAGUUCCCGCACCUCCGCGACCCGUGCCUCGAGUGCAGCUGCAAUCUGUACGGGUCCUACAUCGCGCCAGUGUGCAAAAAGGCCAACAGACCAGAGUGUGAGUACUUUC